rnacentral:tRNA from 1 species
AGUUUCAUAGUUUAUUAAAAAUAUUAGGUUGCAAAUCUAAAGAAGCAAGUAAAGCUGAGACUU